rnacentral:rRNA from 1 species
GUGCCAGCAGCCGCGGUAAUACGUAGGGUGCAAGCGUUGUCCGGAAUUAUUGGGCGUAAAGAGCGUGUAGGCGGCCCGAUUAGUCCGCUGUGAAAGUCCAGGGCUCAACCCUGGAAUGCCGGUGGAUACUGUCGGGCUAGAGUCCGGAAGGGGCGAGUGGAAUUCCUGGUGUAGCGGUGAAAUGCGCAGAUAUCAGGAGGAACACCAAUGGCGAAGGCAGCUCGCUGGGACGUGACUGACGCUGAGACGCGAAAGCGUGGGGAGCAAACAGGAUUAGAUACCCUGGUAGUCCACGCUGUAAACGAUGGCAACUAGAUGUGGGGGGUGUCGACUCCCCCCGUGUCGAAGCUAACGCAUUAAGUUGCCCGCCUGGGGAGUACGGCCGCAAGGCUAAA